rnacentral:sRNA from 1 species
AAAUAGCCCUGAUCGUAGCGGCAUCCUUUCCUCUCGUUCUUAAAACGAGAGUAAAGAUAUAGCGAAGAGCAGGUGUUACG